GGACGGGUGCUAGAGUGGUCUAAUAGGGCAGUUUGCAAAACUGUUUUUCACCGGUUCAAAUCCGGUCUCGUCCU
rnacentral:tRNA from 1 species